GACGAACGCUGGCGGCGUGGAUUAGGCAUGCAAGUCGGACGGUAGAGCUUUAUCGUAAGAUAGAGUUUGAGAGUGGCGAACGGGUGAGUAACACGUAGGAAUCUACCCUUAAGACGGGGACAACCCAGGGAAACUUGGGCUAAUACCGGAUGAGAGUGCGAGAGAUUGCAUUUAAAAGGAUGGCGAAAGUUGUCGCUUAGGGAUGAGCCUGCGGUCUAUUAGUUAGUUGGUGAGGUAAGAGCUCACCAAGGCGAUGAUAGAUAGGCGGCCUUAACGGGUGGUCGCCCACACUGGGAUUGAGAUACGGCCCAGACUCCUACGGGAGGCAGCAGUAGGGAAUAUUGCGCAAUGGGGGGAACCCUGACGCAGCGACGCCGCGUGAGCGAAGAAGGCCUCGGUCGUAAGCUCUGUCCUAUGGGAAGAAUAGGACGGUACCAUAGGAGGAAGCCCCGGCUAACUACGUG
rnacentral:rRNA from 1 species